rnacentral:lncRNA from 1 species
GCCAGCCAAAGGUGUGACAGUUCAGUGGGGAAAGUGGAAGGGUGAUCUAUGGCACUAGGUGCCCCCUCUUCCUUAAAGUUUCUUUUUUUUUGCUCUCUCUCUCUCUCUCUCACUCUCUCUCUCUCUCUUUCUCUCUCCCAGGAGACCUGCUGUGCCCCAGGUCCAGACUGAAACUUUGCAAGGGAAAGAAUGUAUUAGAAGGUUCCAGCCCGAGGAUUUCAGAAACCAGGGUUACAGGCAAACAUUCAAAAAGGUGGGGUACUAUGUGAGGAAGGGGAGAGACAGAGAGAGACAGCGUUGACCCUGCCCACUGGAACACAGAGGCCCCGACCUGAACUCUCGGUGACUCCUUUGGUUGCUCGGGCACCAGCCUGACCUCCCGGUAACUCCUUGGGUCACUCGGGCACUAACCUCAUCUGUGGCUGACCCACUGGGUCACUGAGCCCCUGACUAACCGGCCGAGAGGUUUCCGCGAAGGGCGAGUGGAGAGGGCACAGGGGAGGAAAAGGGGAAAGGGGCUUUGUCACUAAGGGGAGUCAGAGGCAAAGAAGAAGUUCCAGGGGUAAGUAUAUAGGGGAAUAAAAUGAUGCCAGAGAAACAGAAAAUACUAGCUAGAUCACUGAAUCCACUCUCCUGGAGGAUUUUGACAGGAUUUGCCUCUCAAACAUGCCAGCUGUGUUUUCAACCAUUAUGUGGUUCCCUUUC